rnacentral:rRNA from 1 species
GAUGAACGCUGGCGGCGUGCCUAAUACAUGCAAGUCGAGCGAACAGACGAGGAGCUUGCUCCUCUGACGUUAGCGGCGGACGGGUGAGUAACACGUGGAUAACCUACCUAUCAGACUGGGAUAACUUCGGGACACCGGAGCUAAUACCGGAUAAUAUAUUGAACCGCAUGGUUCAAUAGUGAAAGACGGUUUUGCUGGCACUUCUAGAUGGAUCCGCGCCGCAUUAGCUAGUUGGUAAGGUAACGGCUUACCAAGGCGACGAUGCGUAGCCGACCUGAGAGGGUGAUCGGCCACACUGGAACUGAGACACGGUCCAGACUCCUACGGGAGGCAGCAGUAGGGAAUCUUCCGCAAUGGGCGAAAGCCUGACGGAGCAACGCCGCGUGAGUUAUGAAGGUCUUCGGAUCGUAAAACUCUGUUAUUAGGGAAAAACAAAUGUGUAAGUAACUAUGCACGUCUUGACGGUACCGAAUCAGAAAGCCACGGCUAACUACGUG